UACGGGGGGGGCAAGCGUUGUUCGGAAUUACUGGGCGUAAAGGGCUCGUAGGUGGCCAACUAAGUCAGACGUGAAAUCCCUCGGACUUAACCGGGGACUGCGUCUGAUACUGGUUGGCUUGAAUCCGGGAGAGGGAUGUGGAAUUCCAGGUGUAGCGGUGAAAUGCGUAGAUAAUCUGGAGGAACACCGGUGGCGAAGGCGGCGA
rnacentral:rRNA from 1 species